rnacentral:rRNA from 1 species
ACAAAAACAUAGCCCCUAGAAAAUAUUAGGGGUACCCCCUGCCCAGUGACCUAAGGGUUAAACGGCCGCGGUAGCCUAACCGUGCUAAGGUAGCGAAAUCAUUUGCCUCUUAAUUAGUGGCCUGUAUGAAAGGACCAAUGAAAGCUCUCCUGUCUCUCUUUUACCCAUUAAACCUAACCUCUGGGCGAAAAGGCCCAGACACCCCUAUAGGACAAAAAGACCCUAUCAAGCUUAACUAAUCCCUCUUCUACCCCUAUAAUUUAUAGUUCCAAAGACAUAAUUAGUUUAGUUGGGGCAACUAGGGAGUAAUCCUAACCUCCCUUAACCAAAACGGACCCAUCUUCCGACCUAUGAUCCCUCAGGACAAAAAGAAAAGCUACUGUAGGGAUAACAGGCUAAUUUUUCUUGAGAGCCCAUAUCGAAAGAAAAGUUUGGCACCUCGAUGUUGGCUUAAGGUAUCCAUUAAAUUGCAGCAGUUUAAAAGGUAGG